CUCUUUGUUCGAUAGAAUGAGAAAAAGUACUCUUUACAAAGUUAUACUGUUAGGGCGCAACUGAGUAGCCUAAUGUUGUUCUGGUUUUGGUUCUUGUGAACGUUGACAUCGAUUCGCUCGAAAUUACAACUCUCAGGGCAUAUUAGAAAAAUAUAAUUAGAUUUUAACUCUUUGUUCGAUAGAAUGAGAAAAAGUACUCGUUGCAAAGUUAUACUGUUAGGGAGCAACUGAGUAGUCUAAUAUUGUUCCGGUUUUGGUUCAUGUGAACGUUAACAUCGAUUCGUUCCAAAUUUAUGCUCUCGGGGUAUAAUAGAACAAUAUAAUUAGGUUUUAUUCUUUGUUCGAUAGAAUGAGAAAAAGUACUCAUUGCAAAGUUAUACUGUUAGGGCGCAACUGAGCAGCCUAAUAUUGUUCCGGUUUUGGUUCUUGUGAAUGUUGACAUCGAUUCGUUCGAAAUUACAACUCUCGUGGCAUAAUAGAACAAUAUAAUUAGCUUUUACUCUUUGUUCGAUAGAAUGAGUACUCGGGGCAAAGUUACACUAUUAGGGCGCAACUGAUUAGUCUGAUGUUGUUCCGGCUUUGGUUCUUGUGAACGUUGACAUCGAUUCGUUCCAAAUUUACUCUCUUGGGGCAUAAUAAAAUAAUAUAAUUAGGUUUUACUCUUUGUUCGAUAGAAUGAGAAAAAGUACUCAUUGCAAUGUUAUACUUUUAGAGCGCAACUGAGUAAUCUAAUGUUGUUCCGGUUUUGGUUCUUGUAAGCGUUGACAUCGAUUCGUUCCAAAUUUACACUCUCGGGGCAUAAUAGAAUAAAAUAAUUAGUUUUUACACUUUGUUCGAUUGAAUGAGAAAAAGUACUCCUUGCAAAGUUAUACUGUUAGGGCCCAACUGAGUAGCCUAAUGUUGUUCCGGUUUUUGUUCUUGUGAAGGUUGACAUCGAUUCGUUCCAAAUUUACCCUCUUGGGACAUAAUAGAACAAUAUAAUUAGGAUUUACUCUUUGUUUGAUAGAAUGAGAAAAAGCACUCGUUGCAAAUUUAUACUGUCAGCGCGCAACUGAGUAGUCUAAUAUUUUUCAUGUUUUGGUUCUUGUGAGCGUUGACAUCGAUUCGUUCCAAAUUUACACUGUCGGGGCAUAAUAGAAUAAAAUAAUUAGCUUUUACACUUUGUUCGAUUGAAUGAGAAAAAGUACUCCUUACAAUGUUAUACUGUUACGGCGCAACUGAGUAGUCUAAUGUUGUUCCGGUUUUGGUUGUUGUGAAGGUUGACAUCGAUUCGUGCCAAAUUUACACUCUCGUGACAUAAUAGAACAAUAUAAUUAGGUUUUUACUAUUUGUUCGAUUGAAUGAGAAAAAGUAUAAGGCGUCUAGAAACACUGAGUAGUCUAAUAUUGUUCCGGUUUUGGUUCUUGUGAACGUUGAAAUCGAUUUGUUCCAAA
rnacentral:lncRNA from 1 species